UAUGUAAAUGUAGCACUCAGCUCUGGCAGGUUUGAACACCGGCGGGCUUCCCUACUGCGUCCCAGGUGGCUGCUAGUGGUAAAGAACCCACCUGCCAAAUGCAGGAGACUUGAGAUUCACGGGUUCAAUCCCUGGCUGGGGAAGAUCCCCUGGAGGAAGAAAUGACAACCCGCUCUAGGACUCUUGAGUGGACAUGAUUGAAGUGACUUCGCACACAUGCAUACAGGGAGGAGCGAGCAAAUCCCACCAAGAGAGGCCAGGAGGGCUUACUCUACAGAAAUAAGUCUUCUCACGGAAUCGGAAGUCCUGACAUCGAGGUUCCUUGCUAGCAUGAGGAUGAGAAAGGCGAAUCCAAGCGUGGGGGCAUUAUCGAAAACCAUGGAAAUCUUGGUGGCGAGCCAUUAAGAGGCUGGCACCCCCUUGAGAACCACAGGUGGACUUUAAGGAUCUGUUUUGGAAGGCACAAAGAGAACCACGACUGUUUCUUUCUCUCUGCCUUCCUAUUAUCACAAUUCUAAUCCUCCUGAAGGGACAGCUCUGACACUCAUCAGGAAAUGGUCGCACACUAUAAAGAGAAGAAAAGAAGAACACAGAGAUCGACAUUUCCAGCUACCAUCACAGCAUGUUCACUCCCUUAUUUAAUUUCCCUUUUUCUUAAGCCCCUUCUGUUGAGAGAAGACUCCUUUACUGAUAUUCCUCCCAAUAAUAUUUAUGAGCUUAGGAAGGCACCAGUGGUUCUCUCCAAAGUACAAGAGAAAUGACCAGAGUCAUGGGGAUUAUUUAGGACCCUUGAGGUUCUCAGCCUCAGACUGCUACUACAAGGAUCCCUGAAAAGAAAAUAGAGACAUUUUUACUAGCAUCUAAGGAAUUGGGCCUCACCCAUAAUCUAUCUUAUUUAUCUAUGCAGUGACCCAAGGUGAGCACAGUUACUCCUGGGAGCCUGCCCACACAUGGAUCAAUCCAAAGUGUCCUGCCUCGCAAGCUUAGGGUUUAAAUCAAGCCACUUCCCCCAGAAUAUGCAACCUGAACGACUGUACCCUCCAUUUACUACCAUGAGAACGUCUUCUUGUGAUGAGCCCAAAACCCUGUGGACUUAGCCUUCCCAAAGGGUAUGGCCCCAAGAGAGGAAAUGGAAAACGUGUUCCCUGUUUCACUUACUGUUGCUGUUGCCCUGUGUCGUCUGGACAACAGGUGGUCCAGAAACCUGUUGGAGGGACCGAGGUAGCACGCUGCUCUCACAGGCGUGGCAGUGUUGGUUCAGGCUGCAGGAGCACGGAGCUUUUCCCCACAGACGCUGCAGUCAGCUAGUAACCAGGCCUGAGAGCCCUACAGCAGGCAUGGGCUUGGCACCAUCAUAUGCCAUGAAAGCAAAUGCCAAGAGCGUUCUCCACGCAACUGCAGUAACUUCCCUAC
ensembl:lncRNA